AUUACAUUACAGCAGCGGCUCCACGAGCGCACACCCACGGCGACGAGCUGCAGCUCAGCGCUUCAGCCCGAGGCAAUAGUGGAGAGGGGAAACAUCUGUUAACAGACAACAAAGCAUCUCUGCGGAAGUGCAGCGUGACGUCUCUAUGUGGGACAGCAGGUCAUCCUGGAGGAAGUGCGGAUUUUCUGGUCCCGGGGCACUUCUGCUCGAAUAAUGUUUAUGAAUGACGCCUGUGUGGGUGUGUGUGGGUGUGGCUGCAGUGGACGCCGUAGGUUACGAUGCCCUCUUUGUAGAGCAGCCUGAAUAGGCUGAAUGGGGCAGGCGGCAGUGAGCCCGCAGAGCGGUGGGCCAAAGCACAAAGGCAUCGCAGGAGUAUGAGCUCAGCCGGAGCGGAGAGGGACACAGUCGCACAGCACUGACAGAAGAUGUCUUCUUCACACAAAACCACACGGUUAGAAAUUCAAUUCGGCCUCCUUGCACAGAUAAGGCACCAAAUCUCAGUUAAGGCUUUCUAGAAUUAAUGUGCGUAUUUUGUACACCGGUCAUUUUCUAAACAAGUACGCAAGACGUUCAUUACACUGAAAAGUUUCACAACUAAGAAGAGUUCAAGAUCUCUAUAACCAUAUUGGUAACAGUUUAGAGGGGCACAAACAAUGCACUAUUAUGCUAUUACUUAUGUAUUAAUUAACCAUAAACUAAGUCUUAGUUACAUACUGAUCUUAUGUUAAUUCAUCAUUAAUUAAUUGUGACACAUGUUUUAUCUCAAGCACUUACUGUACUAUAUUUGUUACUAUUGUUACUAUAUCUGUUAAUUCUGUAAACCUUUGUAAACUACUAAAGAACUGCUGAAGCAACAAGUGAUAACACAAGUGAAAAGUAAAAUACUUUUAGCUCAAGUAGCCACUAUAUUUUUUUCAUGAUUUGUUCAUGGUUUGUACUUAAGUAGUAACUGAGUUAAUACUACGUAUUUGAGUACUGUCAGGUAAAGUGGUGUUAACUAAUAUUGAAUUUUAGGAUUCAAUGCACCCUUUCCAUGUUUUAAUAUUUUUAAUUGAGGUUAUGUCUAAACUCGUGUGUGUAAUACAUUUGAGUUUAAAUAUAACCUCACUA